rnacentral:rRNA from 1 species
GUAAAUAGGAGGCUAACUUCUUAGACAGACUUUGUGUGCAAGCACAAGGAAGUUUGAGGCAAGAACAGGUCUGUGAUGCCCUUAGAUGUCCUGGGCGGCAUCCGCGCUACACUGACAUAUGCAACAAGCUUUACUUUCYUGUCUSGGAAGAGURCGGGUAAUCUUGUAUAAUGUAYGUAUUCCUAGGGAUAGAUCUUUGGAAUUAUAGAUCUSAACGAGGAAUUCCUAGUAAGCAGAAGUCAUCAGCUUGUGYUGAUUAGGUCCSUGCCCUUUGUACACACCGCCYGUCGCUCCUCCCGAUUUGGAGUGGUCCGGGAACCUAAAGGACAGUGGCCGGGCGGACCCGAUCGUGA